UCGUUACUCGGAAUUACUGGGCGUAAAGCGUGCGUAGGUGGUUUGUUAAGUCUGAUGUGAAAGCCCUGGGCUCACCCUGGGAAUUGCAUUGGAUACUGGCAGGCUAGAGUGCGGUAGAGGGUAGUGGAAUUCCCGGUGUAGCAGUGAAAUGCGUAGAGAUCGGGAGGAACAUCCGUGGCGAAGGCGACUACCUGGACCAGCACUGACACUGAGGCACGAAAGCGUG
rnacentral:rRNA from 1 species